AGAUAUGAGGAAAUGCUGGAGGCUGCAUCGAUCACCCCAGUGAUCAUCAGAGUUGACUGGGCUGAUUAGGCUAUGGUGAAAGGUGGGGUCCCCUCCCUCCCUCACCACUCCAAGUGCAUUCCUUCCCAAAGAUGCAAACUUGGCCACCUGGUUAAGCACACAUAAGCGCAGAAGGACAGGCACAAGGAUCCAGGCUGGAGCCCCUGGAUUCCCACCCGCAAGGAGAUGCUUCACAAGUGGUAAAGCAGGUCUGCAGGUCUCUCUCUCUCUCUCUCUCCUCCUCCUCCUCUCUCAAGUUCUCUCUGGCCUAGUGAAUAAAAUGGAAUAUAGAUGCAUACAUAUAUAUAUGAAAAAAUGGCCACCAGGUGUGGUGAAUUCAUAGUGCAGGCACAGAGCCCCAGCAACUGGAGGAAGAGGCGGGAGAGAGAGAGAAAGAUCAGUCUUCAGCUGAGAGCAUAUUAGUAGCUGUGCUCCUCUGCUUGAACCUUCAAAUAAACUUCCAAGGUCCUUUUAAAACAAGCAAGCAAGCCAACUAACAAACUAACAAACAAUAUCUGAGACCACUCUCA
rnacentral:snRNA from 1 species